UACGUAGGGUGCGAGCGUUGUCCGGAAUCAUUGGGCGUAAAGAGCUCGUAGGCGGCCUGUCGCGUCGGAUGUGAAAACCCGGGGCUCAACCUCGGGCCUGCAUUCGAUACGGGCAGGCUGGAGUUCGGCAGGGGAGACUGGAAUUCCUGGUGUAGCGGUGAAAUGCGCAGAUAUCAGGAGGAACACCGAUGGCGAAGGCAGGUCUCUGGGCAUUAACUGACGCUGAGGAGCGAAAGCAUGGGGAGCGAACAGG
rnacentral:rRNA from 1 species